rnacentral:rRNA from 1 species
GACGAACGCUGGCGGCGUGCUUAACACAUGCAAGUCGAACGCUGAAGCACCAGCUUGCUGGUGUGGAUGAGUGGCGAACGGGUGAGUAAUACGUGAGUAACCUGCCCUUGACUCUGGGAUAAGCCCGGGAAACUGGGUCUAAUACUGGAUGCUACAUGUCACCGCAUGGUGGUGUGUGGAAAGGGUUUACUGGUCUUGGAUGGGCUCACGGCCUAUCAGCUUGUUGGUGAGGUAAUGGCUCACCAAGGCGACGACGGGUAGCCGGCCUGAGAGGGUGACCGGCCACACUGGGACUGAGACACGGCCCAGACUCCUACGGGAGGCAGCAGUGGGGAAUCUUCCGCAAUGGGCGAAAGCCUGACGGAGCAACGCCGCGUGAGUGAAGAAGGUCUUCGGAUCGUAAAACUCUGUUAUUAGGGAAGAACAAAUGUGUAAGUAACUAUGCACGUCUUGACGGUACCUAAUCAGAAAGCCACGGCUAACUACGUG